GGCUCUGUGGCACAAUGGAGCAUUUCAGAGUUAUAGAAAGCUGACAGCAUUUGAUGGUUGUGGGUUCAAGUCCCACCAGAGUUA